rnacentral:rRNA from 1 species
AUUGAACGCUGGCGGCAGGCCUAACACAUGCAAGUCGAACGAGCGGCGGACGGGUGAGUAAUGUCUGGGAAACUGCCUGAUGGAGGGGGAUAACUACUAUAAACGGUAGCUAAUACCGCAUACCAUCCGUUGUGCCCAGAUGGGAUUAGCUAGUAGGUGGGGUAAUGGCUAACCAAGGCGAAGAUCCCUAGCUGGUCUGAGAUGAUGACCGGCCAAACUGGGACUGAGACACGGCCCAGACUCCUACGGAAGGCAGCAGGGGGGAAUAUUGCACAAUGGGCGCAAGCCUGAUCGAGCGAUGCCGCGUGAGUGAAGAAGGCUUUCGGGUUGUAAAGCACUGUCAGUGAGGAGGCGUUACUCGAAGAAGAAGCCCCGGCUAACUCCGUGCCAGCAGCCGCGGUAAUUC